UGUGCGUUGUUUGAAUUUCUAGCAUCUGCAGAUUUUCUCUUGCUUGUGACACUAGUAGAAACGGCAGCUGUGAGAGGCGAGUCUGAACAACCAAAAGACUCAAUGACUAACCACAGCCACCGCUUACUCUUACCCACACCGCAUGAGAAUAUACAGUUCCUGAAUUUCAGAUGGUGACGAGAGGGCGUACAGGAGUGAGAGGUAUCGGCUAGUUGAGUGGUGCCACAGCAACAAGCUUGCACUCAUCAUCCAUAAGACCAAGCAACUGAUUGUGGACUUCAGAAAGAGUAAGAUGAAGGGACACACAGCAGUCCUCAUAAAGGGAUCAGAAGUGGAGAGAGUGAGCAAUUUCAAAUUCCUGGGUGUCAGUAUCUCUGGAAAUCUAAUCAGAACCCAACAUAUCGAUCCAGCUACAAAAAAGGCACGACAGCGGCUAUAUUUCAUUAGGAGCUUGAGGAGAUUUGGUACGUCACCUAAAACACUCACCAAUUUUUACAAAUGUACCAUGGAGAGUGUUCUAAUGGGCUGCAUCACUGUCUGGUAUGGAGGAGUUGCUACUGUACAGGAUUGAAAUAAGCUGCGGAGAGUUGUAAACUCAGUCAGUUCCAACACGGGCACUAGCUUCCAUACAGUCCUGGACAUCCUCAAGAAGUGACACCUCAAAACAGUGGCGUCCAUCGUUAAGGUCCCUCAUCACCCAGGACAUACCCUCUUCUCAUUGCUACCAUCAGGGAGGAGGUGCAGGAGUCUAAAGGCGCACACUCAAUGAUUCAAAAACAGCUUCUUUCCCACUGCCAUCUGAUUUCUGAAUGGACAUUGACCCCAUCAACACUACCUCACUACUUUUUUUAUUUCUAUUUUUGCACUACUUAUUUAAUGUAACUAUAAUUCUCAGUUUUUCUCUCUAUUAUUAUAUAUUACAUUCUACCUCUGCUGCAAAGACAACACACUUCAUGACGUAUGCUAGUGAUAUUAAACCUGAUUCCGACUGGUUUUCUACAGCCACCAGAGGACCCAUCAAUAGACAACCCCUUAGGAGAACAUCAUACUCAACUCAAAUGAUCAACCUAGCACGACCACUGUUAUAAAAGAAUGAAGUAUUUCCACUCAGCUAACGAAAAGGGAAGCUUGGCUGAGACCCAUGGCUACACCUUUGAUUCAGAGAAAGUGAGAGGAGUCAAAAGAGUAGCUGGCUAAGACAUUGGAGGUCUUGAGCCACACACACACAGUACUGGAGGAACUCAGCGGGUCAGGCAACAUCGUAUUUAAUUAUUUAUUGAGAUACAGCACAGAACAGUCCCUUCGAGCCCUUUGAGACACUCCUCACAGCAACCCCUGACUUAACCCUAGCCGAAUCUUGGAACAAUUUACCAAUUAACCUACCAAAUGGUACACCUUUGGACCAUGGGAGGAAACCGGAGCACCUUGAGGAAACCCACACAGUCACAGGGUGAACGUACGAACUCCAAACAGGCAACAGCAGAAAUUGAACCCGGGUCACUGGUACUAUAAAGCGUUGUGCUAACCAUUGCAACUGUGCCACGCAUAUGGAGGAGACUGAGCAGUCAAUGUUUUGGGUCAAGACUCUUCAUCAGGACUGGAAAGGAAG